AGCUGAGAAACCCUGGCUUGAAGCCUUGUUGGGGAGAGAGACACAGGAGCACAAAGUACCAAUGUCAUGUGGAAAGUGAGCAGAGAGUGGUAGAGCACAGCCGUCGGACUGGGAGGAUUCCCAAGCUGAGUCUGGAAGGAGCUGCAUGCCUAGUCAUUCCUUCUAUGAUCUAAUAAUGCUUUGCCCAUUCCCCUCUGCAACACCUAACACUGUGAUGUAUUUUAACCAUCAGUUUACACAUACUUCUCUCCUGUGAGACUGUGAAUUCUUCAAAAGCAGGUACUGUGUUUAAUGAAGUGUGCCCAGGACUUUGCUCAGUGACUGGAUGACACAGUAGGAGUAACAAGAAAGUUCACAUGGGUGAACCGUGGUAGGUGGACAUCGUCUCUCUCACCUCUUCCCAAAUCAAGGAUGAAGUACAUCUUCAUAAAUCCUCAUGUGAAUUAUUUUGCUACCUCUAGAAGCAUUUUCUAAAACAAGGUGCAGCAAUCAGUUGAGUGAAUUUGUCACCAGAGCUUAUGUUUUCUGAAAGAACCCUAUCCUCAGGCAGUUGUUCCUAAGAGGUCAGGCUGCAUUUGUAUCCUGGGUCCACAAGACAUCGUUUCCUUAAAACCAAUCCCCCUGAUUUUGCUAAGUGUCUGCAAGCCUAAUAUUUCAUGGAUGUUUGACAAGGACCCCGUCUUUAGCUGAACUAAGGAGAAAGUCCUGCAACACACACAUGGAGCUCAGCAAACGGAGGAUGUA
rnacentral:lncRNA from 10 species